AGUGAAUACCUAAAUACACAAAAAUUAAAUGAAAAAACCACCCAAGUAUCGAUUCAUCACUCCAACUUCACCAACAAUCGCGACAACCAGUUCCAAUACUAAAAAACCCUCAAUCCUCAACCCUAGCUUUCCUGGCCAAUAAACCUAAUUGCUCUAUGGAAUUUACUGAAAACAACGAUACGAACAUUAAUUCAUCAAGUCAAGAUCUUUUGCCUACUUAAUUCAUCUUUUAACCAAUUCGUACCAUGCCAGUAGCCACAAAUUGUUUCAAUGGGGAUUUAUAGAAUGAGAAUUUAAGGUUUCCAAAUGGUUUAAUUUAAACCAUAAUAAUCCCUUAAAAAUCCAUACUUUAAACCCUAAUUGAAAUCACGAAGAAAAAGAUCAUGAGUUACGAAAUUAAUUUAUCAAAGAAAAAAAAGAAAAAGAUUUAGACAGUGAAAGGAGGCGGAAAGGACGAAGAAAAGAAAUGAAACGGAGAAAGAGUUUGGGUGUCUUCUGAAAAAUGGGAGAGAAAGAAAAUGAAAUGAAAAGAGAAAUUUAUUGUAAUAACCCUGAAUAUUAUGAGGUUUACAUGUAUGGCCCCAGGGUUAUUUAAUAAUCUAUGUAAAUUAUUCUGGAGGCCCUAUGAUAUUAUUAAAAGCUAGAUUACUAAAAUAACUCUACAAUAAAUAUGAAAUCGAGGUUACAGAAACAUUAGCUCCCCAUUUCUCUCUGAUGUCUUCGUUCUCGCCUCUCUCUAUCCCUCUAUUGACACUACCACUUCAGAUUCAGAAAUUACGAUCAAAAAAUUAGAAAAUCCAAAGAUCGGAUAUCAAAACUCGAAAUCAAACUCAAAAACUCUCAUCAUUACCCUAAUUUUGAUAACCUAAAAUCCAUUAGGUUGGCUAUAAGAAAUCUCCAAAUCUUUUCACAAUCGUCGUUUUACUAAUUAUUCAUCAUCAUUUCGAUAACCACCAUGAAGAAUUAGGGUAUGUAGGUUCAAUCUUUCAAUAUAUUUACCACAGUGAAGCAAAUUCAACAAGCCGAAAGAAAGAAUACAAUCAGAGAGCAGUUUUGGAGAACAAGCAAGCAAUAGUCGUUCAAAGGAAACCAGCUAGCAAAAACCGUGCUUCAACAUAGAUACUUACUCAAUGCGCAAAAGGAUGUUUCGAGUUCGUUCUAUCAGUUAGUAAGUCGAAACAUGCAUCUAUAUGUGUUUCUAUUCGUUUGUCUUAUUUCCUGUAAUAUGACUCAUGGUGUUCUGUUUUUCGAGGAAUUUAUACAUCCUUGAAAGUUGUCGUGCCCAAAUUCGAGCACGUAGAGAGUACAAAAAAUAUACUUACCCUGGUCUCAAAGGAUUAGCAUUAAACAUUGGUCUGCGCAUGUAUCGAAUGUCUACACGCGUGGCCUUACUAUCAACUUGUUGCCUAUUCGGAACGUAAUGGAUAUGAAUACUGGUUAUGGAAGAUAAGUCACUUAUGAUAUCCAGAAGGGGUGCUUCAUCACAGAACACCUUAUCUAUUGCGAUAUCCAGCAUUCAAAAAUCUCUUAAAAGCAGUACUGGACGAUAGGGAAAAGCUCGCUAUGUCGUACUGAUAGGUAAGGGUGGUAAUGGUUGUUUUUUGUUGAUGUAUUUCAAAGAAUAUUGCAUUUGUUCCCUCGAAUUAUGAUGUUUUGACGAGGUUAGUAUGUCUCUCUUUACUUAUUCGAAGGAUUUAGAAUCCCCGUAGUGAUCUUGCAUAUGUUCUAAUUUGCUAGAUCUCACUUCCUAUAGGUGAAACCUGUUAGAGAUUCAAUAUCUCAAGCGUUGCAUGACUGGAAAAAUCCUUCAAGGUUUUUUUGUGUGCAGAUAUUUUUUUCAAAGAGAUCUUUUUUGCUGAGAUUCAUCAUAUGUGAAUAUGAGUGCAGAUAUUAUCCACACUGAAAUUUGUGUGCAGAUAUUAUACAGUGUGGAUGUUUUCUACGGAGACUUUCUUUUUUCCUUUGGAAUCAAGAUGCCAAAGAAGAUAAUGAUUUUGUGUCUAGGUUUCCUACAACAACCGAUCUUGAAGAAAGAUGGACUUUUAGUUUCAAAAAUUUGUAUGUACAUAUGAGCAGGUAGUAUCUACACUCUCGUUUUUGUGUGCGGGUAUUAUCCACACUAAUAUACGUUUUUGUGUGCAGGUAUGAUCCACACUAACAUUUUUGUGUGCAGGUAUUAUGUACAGUCUUUUUAUAGAUUUUAGGUGGGUUCUGUUUGUGCAUGCUUACCAUUGGCAUUUGGAUAGAAACAUGAAAGUGCACCUUUAAUGAUUUGAAUAGUUCAAUUCACUUACAAAUUCAUAUAUCAAUCAGAAACGGAGAGUUUACAAGUAUGACAUAACAUACUAAAAUUUGUGUGCAGAUAUUAUGUACAGUGUUUUUAUACAUAAAUUUAUUUGGAUGUUUUCUACAGAGACUUUCUUUUUGCCUUUGGAAUCAAGAUGCCAAAGAAGAUAAUGAUUUUGUGUACAAGUUUCCGACAGCAACCGAUCUUGAAGAAAGAUGGAUUUUUAGUUUCAGAAAUUUGUAUGUACAUAUGAGCAGGUAGUAUCUACACUCUCGUUUUUGUGUGCAGGUAUUACCCAUACUAAUAUACGUUUUUGUGUGCAGGUAUGAUCCACACUAACAUUUUUGUGUGUAGGUAUUAUGUACAGUCUUUUUAUAGAUUUUAGGUGGGUUCUGUUUGUGCAUGCUUACCAUUGGCAUUUGGAUAGAAACAUGAAAGUGCACCUUUAAUGAUUUGAAUAGUUCAAUUCACUUACAAAUUCAUAUAUCAAUCCGAAACGGAGAGUUUACUAGUAUGACAUAACAUACUAAAAUUUGUGUGCAGAUAUUAUGUACAGUGUUUUUAUACAUAAAUUUAUUUGGAUGUUUUCUACAGAGACUUUUUUUUUGCCUUUGUAAUCAAGAUGCCAAAGAAGAUAAUGAUUUUGUAUACAAGUUUCCGACAGCAACCGAUCUUGAAGAAAGAUGGAUUUUUAGUUUCAGAAAUUUGUAUGUACAUAUGAGCAGGUAGUAUCUACACUCUCUUUUUUGUGUGCAGGUAUUAUCCACACUAAUAUAUGUAAAUACAAAGAUAUUCUUAUGCAACAGAUUCGUAUGAUGGUUGGUAUUCUAGGACAUACAUUUUUUAUGCUGAAAGACAGAUGUAAUAUUAUGAAUCAUGAAAUGUACAUUUUUUAUAUGAAUCUGAUACUGCUUCUUGCCGUAGCUGUCUACGUGAGGACGAUUUUGUUAGUUUUUUUAGGGAGAUUUAUAUUUGGGUUCUUCGUUUCCUUUUAUGAUUAAUAAAGUGGUGCAUAAAUUGGUUAGUUAUGCAGUAUGAGUUUUUGCAGAACUUGAAUAUCUUGCAUCUAAUUCAGUUUGAUAAUUUUGUUGCUGUUCGAAUUUGAGUUGAGACAGGGUUCUACUAGGAGAAUUAGCGAAACAAGAAUAAAAAAACUAUUGGAAGAAGAGUUGACAAAGUGAAUGGAUUCUGGACGACGUUCUCCCAAUGUCAUUGCACUGGUUAAGGACUAAUAAUAAAGAGAUACUGGACUCCAAGGAUAUCUAUGAAGUCUUUGAAACAUCGCAAGCAGUGAACAUGGAACUCAGCAAGUCCCAAGGAAACAACAUCAAAUGUAAAUGAGGCUAAAAUGGAAUAUAGAAGGCAGAAGUUCUUGGAUGCCAAGCGUCUCUCUAUUGAUGAUGUAUUGAACUAGAAUCAAGCAGUUGCUAAGGUCGAAGAUCCACCAUAGAAAUUCACCAUCCCAACAAGAUUGUAUCAUAAACUACUUUGUUGAUCUUCUUUUUCAUCACAGUCCUCUGUUUCCCAAAUAGAAUGUGUGAAUAUCUUCUACACAAUUUGAGUUUCUACAUAUUUUCUAAGCUGGAGAAAUUCUUCAUCGGUUGUUCUAUGACAACAAGAAUCCGUAGUUAGAGUUGUUAAUUUUUGAUAUAUGUGCAUAUUUUUCUGGCACUUGAGCGUGUUCAUAUUAUUAUUUUUUUUGGAAGAUUGAAUUUGUACAUAUUAUCUGCA